AGACCGGCUUACUGGUCGUGCUUUUGUGCGUACUGGUAUAAUCGGUUUCUCCUUUCUGACGAACUUUAAUGCCAUUAAUUUGGUGUUUUAGGGAAUCAGGACUGUUACUUUGAAAAAAUUAGAGUGUUUAAAGCAGGCUCACGCUUGAAUACAUUAGCAUGGAAUAACGGAAUAGGACGUUUGAUUCUAUUUUGUUGGUUUCUAGGAUCGACGUAAUGAUUAAUA
rnacentral:rRNA from 1 species